rnacentral:rRNA from 1 species
CCUACGGGAGGCAGCAGUGGGGAAUUUUGGACAAUGGGCGCAAGCCUGAUCCAGCAAUGCCGCGUGAGUGAAGAAGGCCUUCGGGUUGUAAAGCUCUUUUGUCAGGGAAGAAACGGGACCGGCUAAUAUCUGGUUCUAAUGACGGUACCUGAAGAAUAAGCACCGGCUAACUACGUGCCAGCAGCCGACGGUAAUACGUAGGGUGCAAGCGUUAAUCGGAAUUACUGGGCGUAAAGCGUGCGCAGGCGGUUUUGUAAGUCUGUCGUGAAAGCCCCGGGCUUAACCUGGGAAUUGCGAUGGAGACUGCAAGGCUUGAAUCUGGCAGAGGGGGGUAGAAUUCCACGUGUAGCAGUGAAAUGCGUAGAGAUGUGGAGGAACACCGAUGGCGAAGGCAGCCCCCUGGGUCAAGAUUGACGCUCAUGCACGAAAGCGUGGGGAGCAAACAGGAUUAGAUACCCUGGUAGUCCACGCCCUAAACGAUGUCUACUAGUUGUCGGGUCUUAAUUGACUUGGUAACGCAGCUACGCGUGAGUAGACCGCCGUCGGGAGGUACGGUCGCGAGAGUUAAACGUUAACGUAAGUAAGUAGUACGGCGUGAGACGUGACCGACGGACGACGACGAGGGAGGUUAGGG